rnacentral:rRNA from 1 species
GACGAACGCUGGCGGCGUGCUUAACACAUGCAAGUCGAACGGAAAGGCCCUGCUUUUGUGGGGUGCUCGAGUGGCGAACGGGUGAGUAACACGUGAGUAACCUGCCCUUGACUUUGGGAUAACUUCAGGAAACUGGGGCUAAUACCGGAUAGGAGCUCCUGCUGCAUGGUGGGGGUUGGAACGUCUCGGCGGUUGGGGAUGGACUCGCGGCUUAUCAGCUUGUUGGUGGGGUAGUGGCUUACCAAGGCUUUGACGGGUAGCCGGCCUGGGAGGGUGACCGGCCACAUUGGGACUGAGGUACGGCCCAGACGCCUACGGGAGGCAGCAGUGGGAAGUAUUACACAAUGGGCGGAAGCCUGAUGCAGCAACGCCGCGUGCGGGAUGACGGCCUUCGGGUUAUAAACCGCUUUCGCCUAUGACGAAGCGGGAGUGACGGUAAUGAGUAAAGAAGCACCGGCUAACUACGUG